rnacentral:rRNA from 1 species
UACGUAGGGCGCAAGCGUUGUCCGGAAUUAUUGGGCGUAAAGAGCUCGUAGGCGGUUUGUCGCGUCUGCUGUGAAAACUCGGGGCUUAACUCCGGGCCUGCAGUGGGUACGGGCAGACUAGAGUGCGGUAGGGGAGACUGGAAUUCCUGGUGUAGCGGUGAAAUGCGCAGAUAUCAGGUGGAACACCGGAGGCGAAGGCGCCUGCCUGGCAGUGUAUUGACGCUGAGGUGCGAAAGUGCGGGGAGCAAACAGG